AUUAGAAGAAAACAUAAAUCAGAAUAACAUUUUUGGAUUGAAACCCCACUUUGCCCUGACCGGCUCCGUCUCCAACCACCUCCCCCAAAUCCCGGCGCCGCCGCCGCCGCGAGAAUCUCUCCACCCACUCCCCCGAGUCCCCAGGAUGGCUCGUCUCGGCUCCACGACCGGGAACGGCGCGGCCAUGGUCGGUCGACAGCCCGCGCUGGCUCCUCGGCCAAGCGAGGCGGCUUGGGGGCGCCUCGGCCGCUGAGGCUCGCCGGUGGAGGCGCAGGGCGGCGGCGGCCCUCCUCUCCCUGCGGAUUCCUUCACGGCCGGACCGCCCCGACGUCCACGCCGGGCGGUGUACAAGGCCAAGGGCCGCCACGACCUCGACAUGAUCGUGGCAUACAAGCUUCGCCUCGAGCAGGAUCAUCUCCUCCCUUCCUUCCUCAAGGAGACCAGGUGCCGUUUCGCUCUUUCUGCAUGACGGAAGGACUGUGCACUCAAGGUUCAGGAUACCGCUGGCUAUUAGUUUGUGACAUAAAAGAUAGGGAGGGACAUAAUCACUGAUAGUCGAUGCAACUAUCACACGCUCGUCAUUGUGGCGGUUUGUGCGACAGUCCAUUACAUCACCUUUAUGUCACUCAUUGGACUGUCUAUUCUCAUUGGAUUUUCCUCCUUGGAUGGAAUUCAACGCUCUCUCUGAGCUUAAAGUUGGCACCGCUUGUUGCAUUGUCUGUGCCUAUGUUUCACGACUGUGGCACCAUCGCGGUGCAACAGAUACUGGUCCUAUUAAACAUACUGAAUGGUCUUGCUUGACAAUAUGGGAAACCACAUCUAUGCAGAGUUUUCAGAGAAGGUUGUCCACCAGUUCAUAGAUCUUAUUUAAGGAAUCAUGGUAUAUGAGCUUAGGAAGUUCUUUGUGCUCUCAAGGAAGUAUCUAUUCAGGCCUCCUGAGGGGAUCUUGCAUGAUCAAGAUCACUUCGUUCACUACUGCUUUCACAAGGCCUGGCAUUGAGCCAGACUUCCUGUUCUGUACGCUUUAACUCCGCCGGCUCAGCUCCCUGGUCCAACUGACAUGCCUGAAAAGUUCACAGAGGCAAGCAAACCAGUGCGGUGGUCAUAUGGCCUUGAAGUUUGCUGCUGAUGAAGUUAUUGAACUGGGCAAGAAAGAACCGGUCGUUGCUAUGUUUGUUGGGACGCUGUUCAAGAAAUAGGAAGGUCGUAGAGGUGUAACUGGAAGUGCUGCGUGUCGCUGGUACAUUAAUGAAGAUUUGCAGACAUAAGAUUGUUCAGCAGAAGGGCAGGGGCUGCUGCCAAGGUCGACGCACAAGUCAAUUUACAAACAAAACCAGUUCAGGAAUUGCUUGACCUCGAUUUGUUUGAAGACCAGGAUGUCCACUUCUUCUGCACUUUCAUCGUUAUGGGGCUUAGUCCUAGCUACCCAGUGAUGGUGGUUCUGUUUUUGCAGCAUGCCAUAAGUCGUCAGCGCCUUGUGCAGCUGCGUAUAAGUGCUCAGACCCUGACUGCAAUGGGAUGGAUGCGUUCCUAGGUACCGGAUAUAUGCUACCCGGUCCAUGAUGAUGGUUCCGAGGCCAAGUUUGUUCUCUUCGACACGGUCCAGUAUUGCUUUGUCGUGUUGAUCCCCAAUAAGUGUUAUCUAAACGAGCAAGAGUCCAGCAGCAUCCAGGAGUGGUUCAUGUAGCUGUGUUGUUUCUCUUCUAGCUGAUGGUGUCAGUGAUACUUUGCAAGGAGAUAUGUCGCCUUCACAUGGACUUGCUGCUGUUCAGAAAACUGAAGACAUCCCCACUCCGGGUCUGACCACGACACCACCUCCUAAGGGUGGAUAGGAGACACCUCAUUCCGCUUCAAAAACAGUUGGACUCUAGGUAUGUAUAAAUUCACUGAACGGAAUGGUCGCCUUCAUAGCUUGACCACAUUUGUUCUGACAUGCAUGUUGUGCAGCCAUGGUGCUUCUCCUAUCAAGAAAAUAGUUACAGUUUUGAGAUGCUCUUUGUCAGGAAAAUUCAAUUAUUAUUCAUGUCAAAAUCUCAUUUGGGACAGCAUGUCAAAAACCUUAAAGCUGAACCAAAAGUGCAAUUCUAUACUUGGCUGUCAAUCUAAAACCGUAACUGGACUGCAGAUAGACGUAAAAACAGAUGGCCCCAUGAUGGCAACUGCGUCCUCUGUGAUCAGUCCAGUCGAAACGGCUGCCCAUCUCACACACUACAUUGCCCUUUUGCCAAAGAGGUGUGAAAGCGGAAUCAUCUUUCUGACCCCGGUUACUCCAUGUCCAACAUUGCGUUGCAGGCCAUGCACAUCCGUGAAGAAAUGGUGAAGCUACUCUGCUCACAUGGCGAGGAAAACUAGGAAAAAAGACUCAGGCUGUCACUUAGUUAUAUGGUUGUUGCCUGUAAUAUUUCGAAAGAGCGAGACGGGAGGCUCUUUGAAGGAAAAGAGAGCACCACAUCACUCGGAGCUGCUGAACUUGUCCGAAGCGACGUCGCUCUUCUUUAAGAUGCUUGCCAGAGCUAAUUUAGGUCAUUGUACAGCGAAGUGCCAUCUUAUCUUGGCUGGUUCGAUUGUUUAGCCUUUUGUUUCCUGAUCUUUACCCUGUAAAAGGAUUGUAAUUCCGCCUUCUCAAUGCCAAGCCCCUCUUUGACAGUCC